rnacentral:snRNA from 9 species
AUACUUACCUGGCGUAGGGGAUACCGUUAUCAUGCAGGUGGUUCCCCCAGGGCGAGGCUGCUCCAUUGCACUACGGAGUGGUUGAUCCUUGCGAUGAAUUUUAUUUUUAUCAAUAAAAAAUCGUAAUAAUAAAUGUAUAUCCGAAUAAUUAUUUUCUUUAUACCUCGAA